AUACGGAGGGUGCAAGCGUUAUUCGGAAUUACUGGGCGUAAAGCGCGUGCAGGCGGUGGACAAGUCUGAUGUGAAAGCCCCGGGCUCAACCUGGGAAGUGCAUUGGAAACUGUUCAUCUUGAGUGCUGGAGAGGAAGGGGGAAUUCCCGGUGUAGAGGUGAAAUUCGUAGAGAUCGGGAGGAAUACCAGUGGCGAAGGCGCCCUUCUGGACGGUGUCUGACACUGAGGCGCGAAAGCUAGGGGAGC
rnacentral:rRNA from 1 species